GCGAACCAUUGAAUAACUAUUCUGCUUUAGUGGAAGCUGUCCGUGCCAUGAUAGGCUCGCCGUUCUCAUUAUCACCCAAGAGAAUUACUAUCUCAACUGUUGGGAUUAUUCAUGCUAUAAACAAACUGCAUGGUGAUCUACCAGGAUUGAACUUGGCUGUUUCCUUGCAUGCACCUGUGCAAGAUAUUCGUUGUCAGAUAAUGCCUGCAGCUCGGGCUUUUCCUUUACAAAAACUUAU
rnacentral:misc_RNA from 1 species